ACAAACUUCUCAGGCUUCUCUGAACAGAUAAAAAUAAACACAAAAAAUAUUGAACCAAAUGGAAGAAGCUUUAAACAGAAGUGAGUAAAUUUAGAGUGCCUGGCAAAGGCCCAGUGCUCAGCCACCUAUUUAUAUAACAAAGCCACUUUGUCCUUGUACAUAUUGUUUGCUUUUUAACAGUGGUAUCGCUAAUGGACCUGCAGGGCACACGGAGUCCUGGGCAUGCCAUAUGCACACACCAGCUCCCAGAGCCAGCGUGCCUUUGAUGGUGGGCAGGAAGUGUAACAAUCACCCAGAAUCACAGAAUAUCCUGACCGGGAAGGGACCGAGGAUCAUCGAGUUAAAUUCCUGCACAGGACACCCCAACAAUCCUCAGAGCCUUGUCCGAAUGAUGACCUCACCUACUUUUAAGAAUUUGUGCCAUGUGAGGACAAGCAAACCCCUAAACACACUGUGUACCUCGGCAGCAGCACCCUGCUACAUUACAGGAGGAAUGUAUCAGUUGCUGUAUAAAAGCUAUAGUGUGCCAAUUGGAGUUAUUUUACACGAGUGAAGUAUGGCCACGACCUCACAGGAGAUAGAAAAAAGAAAAAAAAAAAACAAACCGGCUGAGGUAGGAGGGGAGCCGAGUGUUGCAACAAAGCACUAGACCAAACUAGAAAGUGAAGAAAGUUCCCAGAAAGGCAAAAGGCCGCCCCGUACGCCGAGGGGCAACACGAGACCACAAAGCUCCCUCAGACCCUCAGCUUAACCUCCCUGCCCCGCCCGCUGCCCUCACACGGCCCCGCCCAGCCUCGCGCGCAACCGCACCCGGAUCACGUGCCCCAGAUUCCAAGUCUAUUGGGCGAGAGGAGGAGGGCGGGGCUAACCCCUCUAUAAAGCAGUGCGCGGCGAGGUCUGGGCCUCUCUUCCGGCGUGGG